rnacentral:rRNA from 1 species
AUGGAGGCGGCGGCGCAGACGACGAGCGUUGUGUGCGUGACCGGCGCAGGGGGCUUCGUCGCCUCGUGGCUCGUCAAGCUCCUCCUCUCCAAGCCCCACUUCACCGUCCGCGGCACCGUGCGCGAUCCCGAUGCUAAGAAUGCUCAUCUCAAGGCGCUAGAAGGUGCCGGGGAGAGGCUGCAGCUGCUCAGCGCCGACCUGAUGGACUACGGCAGCAUUGCGUCGGCGGUCGCUGGCUGUGAGGGCGUCUUCCAUGUUGCUAGCCCUGUCCCUUCUGGCAGACCAACCAACCCUGAGGAACAAGUUAUAGCCCCUGCAGUAACAGGCACACUGAAUGUGUUGAAGGCUUGCAACGAGGCAAAAGUUAAGCGAGUUGUCAUAGUGUCUUCAUGUGCCGCUGUGUUCAAUAAUCCUAACUGGCCUAAGGGCAAAGUAUUUACUGAAGACAGCUGGUCAGACGAGGAUCUCUGCAGAAAGGGUGAGGACUGGUAUUUGCUUUCCAAAACGCGCGCAGAGCGUGAGGCUUUUGCUUAUGCAGCAAAAACUGGGCUGGAUGUUGUAGCCAUUUUACCAUCGUUGGUACUUGGCCCCUUGAUGCAGCCUACAGUGAAUGCGAGCAGCAAAAUUCUUCUGAAAUAUCUCAAAGGAGAACAUGAGACUGUAGAAAAUAGAUUCUGGAAUCUAGUGGAUGUUCGUGAUGUUGCCGAUGCUCUUCUUUUGGCAUAUGAAAAUCCAGCGGCAUCUGGACGGUACAUCUGCAGUCCAGUACGAAUAAAAGUCUCUGAUGUCAUAAGCAUUCUGAAGACCUUAUAUCCAACGUACACUUAUCCCAAAAACUUUACGGAGGUGGAAGAAGGUAACGUUAUGAGUUCAGAGAAACUUCAGAAGCUAGGGUGGACCUUCAGGCCUGUAGAGAAGACCCUCGGAGACAGCGUCGAAUCCUACAAAGCAUCUGGCAUCCUGAACUGA